rnacentral:rRNA from 1 species
AUUGAACGCUGGCGGCAGGCUUAACACAUGCAAGUCGAGCGGGCGAGGUUGCUUCGGUAACUGAGCUAGCGGCGGACGGGUGAGUAAUGCUUAGGAAUCUGCCUAUUAGUGGGGGACAACAUUCCGAAAGGAAUGCUAAUACCGCAUACGCCCUACGGGGGAAAGCAGGGGAUCUUCGGACCUUGCGCUAAUAGAUGAGCCUAAGUCAGAUUAGCUAGUUAGUGGGGUAAAGGCCUACCAAGGCGACGAUCUGUAGCGGGUCGGAGAGGAUGAUCCGCCACACUGGGACUGAGACACGGCCCAGACUCCUACGGGAGGCAGCAGUGGGGAAUAUUGGACAAUGGGCGCAAGCCUGAUCUAGCCAUGCCGCGUGUGUGAAGAAGGCCUUUUGGUUGUAAAGCACUUUAAGCGAGGAGGAGGCUACCGAGAUUAAUACUCUUGGAUAGUGGACGUUACUCGCAGAAUAAGCACCGGCUAACUCUGUGCCAGCAGCCGCCGUAA